GUGCCCGCGUUAGCGGCACACACACUAAAACCGAGACCAUGCAGGAGAGAUUAUCAUGGCCCUACGUGAGGAUGACGCCCAGACUCCUGAAGCAGUCCCUGUUUUU